UUGAACGCUGGCGGCAGGCCUAACACAUGCAAGUCGAGCGGUAGCACAGAGAGCUUGCUCUCGGGUGACGAGCGGCGGACGGGUGAGUAAUGUCUGGGAAACUGCCUGAUGGAGGGGGAUAACUACUGGAAACGGUAGCUAAUACCGCAUAAUGUCGCAAGACCAAAGUGGGGGACCUUCGGGCCUCAUGCCAUCAGAUGUGCCCAGAUGGGAUUAGCUAGUAGGUGGGGUAACGGCUCACCUAGGCGACGAUCCCUAGCUGGUCUGAGAGGAUGACCAGCCACACUGGAACUGAGACACGGUCCAGACUCCUACGGGAGGCAGCAGUGGGGAAUAUUGCACAAUGGGCGCAAGCCUGAUGCAGCCAUGCCGCGUGUGUGAAGAAGGCCUUCGGGUUGUAAAGCACUUUCAGCGGGGAGGAAGGCGAUAAGGUUAAUAACCUUGUCGAUUGACGUUACCCGCAGAAGAAGCACCGGCUAACUCCGUGCCAGCAGCCGCGGUAAUACGGAGGGUGCAAGCGUUAAUCGGAAUUACUGGGCGUAAAGCGCACGCAGGCGGUCUGUCAAGUCGGAUGUGAAAUCCCCGGGCUCAACCUGGGAACUGCAUUCGAAACUGGCAGGCUAGAGUCUUGUAGAGGGGGGUAGAAUUCCAGGUGUAGCGGUGAAAUGCGUGGAGAUCUGGAGGAAUACCGGUGGCGAAGGCGGCCCCCUGGACAAAGACUGACGCUCAGGUGCGAAAGCGUGGGGAGCAAACAGGAUUAGAUACCCUGGUAGUCCACGCCGUAAACGAUGUCGAUUUGGAGGUUGUGCCCUUGAGGCGUGGCUUCCGGAGCUAACGCGUUAAAUCGACCGCCUGGGGAGUACGGCCGCAAGGUUAAAACUCAAAUGAAUUGACGGGGGCCCGCACAAGCGGUGGAGCAUGUGGUUUAAUUCGAUGCAACGCGAAGAACCUUACCUGGUCUUGACAUCCACAGAACUUUCCAGAGAUGGAUUGGUGCCUUCGGGAACUGUGAGACAGGUGCUGCAUGGCUGUCGUCAGCUCGUGUUGUGAAAUGUUGGGUUAAGUCCCGCAACGAGCGCAACCCUUAUCCUUUGUUGCCAGCGGUUAGGCCGGGAACUCAAAGGAGACUGCCAGUGAUAAACUGGAGGAAGGUGGGGAUGACGUCAAGUCAUCAUGGCCCUUACGACCAGGGCUACACACGUGCUACAAUGGCAUAUACAAAGAGAAGCGACCUCGCGAGAGCAAGCGGACCUCAUAAAGUAUGUCGUAGUCCGGAUUGGAGUCUGCAACUCGACUCCAUGAAGUCGGAAUCGCUAGUAAUCGUAGAUCAGAAUGCUACGGUGAAUACGUUCCCGGGCCUUGUACACACCGCCCGUCACACCAUGGGAGUGGGUUGCAAAAGAAGUAGGUAGCUUAACCUUCGGGAGGGCGCUUACCACUUUGUGAUUCAUGACUGGGGUG
rnacentral:rRNA from 1 species